rnacentral:rRNA from 1 species
UACGGAGGGUGCGAGCGUUGUCCGGAAUCACUGGGCGUAAAGGGCGCGUAGGCGGCCUGAUAAGUAGGGGGUGAAAUCCUGCGGCUUAACCGCAGGGCUGCCUUCUAAACUGUCAGGCUAGAGCACAGUAGAGGCAGGUGGAAUUCUUGGUGUAGUGGUGAAAUGCGUAGAGAUGCGGAGGAACACCAGUGGCGAAAGCGACUUUCUGGUCCUUAACUGACGCUGAGGCGCGAAAGCAUGGGGAGCGAACGGG